rnacentral:lncRNA from 1 species
CUCCUUUGGCCAUCCUAGGUCUCGUGUACAGUCGUCCCCUCCGCUCCUCGCCUCCUCUCCCGAGUCCCGAACGGCCGAUCCCGACGCCGGCUGCGUGGCUCGCCUCAGAGCCCCAGCCGUAUCCUGCCACCCUUGUCCAUGAGCGCCCGCUAUCAGCGCAGCUAGUCCCUCCCUCCGCCCGCUAUCUUGAGCGGUGGUGAUGGAGUUUACUUUCGAGGAUGCAGCGGAACUGUGCGCGCUCGUUUCGAAUCAGCAAUCCCACGUCGACGAGAAGCGGAGGUGGCUGGAGUCAAUGAUCCUCAGACCGGAUGGCUGCAUCAGGCGCGCGAAGCGACCCAAGUUUUUGCAUGAAGUGUAAGCGUGCGCCAAGUUCUGGGAUGCGAGUAGUGUUCUAAUUCAGGCUUUUUCUUGGUCUCUUUAAUAAGUUGUCCGAAGUUUAGUGUUUUAUUGAGUCAACCGGGC